GAUGAACGCUAGCGACAGGCCUAACACAUGCAAGUCGAGGGGUAACAAGUAAAAAGCUUGCUUUUUAUGUUGACGACCGGCGCACGGGUGAGUAACACGUAUGCAACCUGCCUUUUACAGGGGAAUAGCCCAGAGAAAUUUGGAUUAAUGCCCCAUAACAUUUAUCAUUCGCAUGUUUGAUAAAUUAAAGCUCCGGCGGUAAAAGAUGGGCAUGCGUUCUAUUAGUUAGUUGGUGAGGUAACGGCUCACCAAGGCGACGAUAGAUAGGGGUUCUGAGAGGAUAGUCCCCCACACUGGUACUGAGACACGGACCAGACUCCUACGGGAGGCAGCAGUGAGGAAUAUUGGUCAAUGGCCGCAAGGCUGAACCAGCCAUGUCGCGUGAAGGACGACGGCCCUAUGGGUUGUAAACUUCUUUUGUAUGGGAAGAAAAGUAGGCACGAGUGCUUAUCUGCCGGUACCAUACGAAUAAGGAUCGGCUAACUCCG
rnacentral:rRNA from 1 species